CACACCUCCGAGGGCGAGAGGAGAGCGUGUGAGCAGACAGUCCUGAAGGAGACGGAGGGGCUUUCCCGUACGAUAUUCAGCAGUCCUGUAAAUGGCAGUCUCCUAAUUCACCAGGCUCAACUCUGCAAAGAUCGCUGACCUAUAAAAGAACACGGACGAGUCAACAGACUGUGCCGUGAUCAAACUGGGACCUGUUGGUCCAAAUCAGCAGUAAGACAAACUUUACAAUGCUGUCAUUACCUUAAACUGCUACUUCAACAGAGGUGGGGAUCGGUACCAUUGCUCCAACGUGUGCCUGAAGCUGUGAUGGACUUCCUGACGGACACAGGUGACUGAAAGUUGAAUAAGUUGACCAAUGUGAUCUGCUCCCCAUCUCUUUCCCUGCCACAGUUUUCCUGUGUGACUCUAAGGUGGGCCCUAAGUUCACCAUCCUCAGCUUACAUGAGGUCCUGCAGACUCAAUCUCAGGAGCGCUCAUCAUUUAAAGCUACAGCCCAUACUGAGCACAGAAGCACCUUGUUUAGCAGGCCCAAGAGGAAAGAGCUGUAAUAUUCUCCUAAAUUGUGCCUAAACUUCACGAAGUGUGGAACCGUGGCUAAAACUUUGACUCUCCGGAGAAAGUAUUAGGAGAAAUCCUGACGAUAGCUCAUUAAUCUGGUAUCAGAACGCACCCAGUCUCUUCCAGCUCAGGUGCUCCUUGUGAACUUGUCCUUCAGAUCUGCUUUUCCCAGUGAUUGAUCUUUAUGGCUGUCCUCACUUUCACAUUAAUGCUUAUCAUAAUCAAUAUUUUUACUUGGUUUUAUGACAAGCAAAACAUACUAAAAGUAUAUAUUAGACAUCACUUACAUUCUCUGGGCUGCACAUGAACAGUCAUACCAGUUUUACUUGCUUACUUACUUACUUACUUACAUAUAUAUAUGGUUUUAAUAUUAUUAUCUUAUCUGGUUUCCUUAUUUCUUAGGCACGAUCUCAGUGUAGGACA